AAGUCGUAACAAGGUAACCGUAGGUGAACCUGCGGUUGGAUCAUUAAUAAAUUAAAAAUUGUUUCUUACCAUAACAGGUUUAGAAAGCCACUUAACUCUGAGAAGAGUGGUGUGCAACCCCAAUUUUUGUGAACUUGUAACCUUAAAACAUUUUUGAAGAGAGGAAAGAUUUUGGGUUAUGGCCUUCUAGGUCUUGGCCCAAGUUUUUCUGCCUUUGAGAAAAUUAUAUAUUAACCCUGAAUGAAAGAACUUGUCUUUACCGUUUUUUAUAAAAAAAAUAAUAAUAAAACAACUUUUGACAACGGAUCUCUAGGCUCUC
rnacentral:misc_RNA from 1 species